rnacentral:rRNA from 1 species
UACGUAGGGGGCGAGCGUUGCUCGGAAUCACUGGGCGUAAAGCGCACGUAGGCGGCUUGUUAAGUCAGGGGUGAAAUCCUGGAGCUCAACUCCAGAACUGCCUUUGAUACUGGCGAGCUUGAGUUCGGGAGAGGUGAGUGGAACUGCGAGUGUAGAGGUGAAAUUCGUAGAUAUUCGCAAGAACACCAGUGGCGAAGGCGGCUCACUGGCCCGAUACUGACGCUGAUGCGCGACAGCCGUGGGGAGCAAACAGGG